UGACUCUUGCUUCAAGGCCUAGGUGACAGUACAUACUGUGCAUCUCCCCCAGACCCCCUCUUUACCUGUCCCCAUCUCUUUUAGUCAGUGUUUUCUCCACUGUGACUAAUUUUCUGACCAGAACAAUUGUAGGGGAGGAAAAGUCUAUUUGAAAGCUCAUGGUUUCGGUGGUCUUAGUCUAUAGAAGGCUGGCCCCAUUUCUUGGGGUUCAAGGUGAGGCUGAAUGUCAUGGUGGGAGAGCGUGUUGAAAGGAAGCAACCCAUAUCAUGAUCAGAAAGAAGAGAAACUCCACUCGGCAGACACAAAUCUAUACACCCCGUGGCUAUGCCCCCAGUGAACCACUUCCUCCAGCCACACACCCCCUGCCUCCAGUUACCAUCAGAGAUUAAUUCACUGAUUUUGUUAAAGCUAUACCCCAGUCACUUCUCCUCCAAACCUUCUUACACUUUCUCACACGUGAGAUUUUGGGGGAUACCACACCUAAACCAUAACACCAUCCAUGUUGUGGGAAGCAAAGAGUCCCUAAGAGGUGGUAAAAAUAUUAGAAAGAGCCCAGGUAAUAGAGUCACAGAUUAGAGAAUUACCACCAGAAGCCUGCCCAGCAAGCAUUAGAUUGUGUGUGAUGGAGAACAAAAAAAUCUCAAUUGGGUUGUCACAAUGGCUGGUACAGUCAGCUGUCUGUGGUCUCAGGUUCCACAUCCAUAGAUUCAACCAACCUCAGAUUAAAAUAUUCAGAAAACGAUGUUAUGCUCUUGCUGAUGGUUACAGUGGCCGUGUUUAUGCUGAACAUAAAUAGGUCAUUUUCUUGUCAUCAUGUUCUAAAUAAUACAGUACAACAAGUAUUUCUAUAUCAUGGACAUUGUAUUAUAAGUCAUCUAGAGAUAAUUGAAAGGCUAUGAGGGUGUACUCAGGGCAUAUGGAAAUACUAUGUGGUUGGAUGGAAGACUUGGAUUUUGGUGCUCACCAGGGAUUCUAGAACUAGUCCCUCUUGGAUACUGAGGGACAACUGUUUAUUACCCUGACCAAUCCAAACUACUUUAAAAUUUUGAUUUGUUUAUUUAUUCAUCAUACUAUGAUGGGGAGGGCAUUACUAUAAUAUAAGGAAGUGUCUACAGAGGACAUCAUUAGGGAAUUUAUUUAUUUUAAUGCAAUUCUCUUUGUUCAUAGUGAAUCAUGAUUAGGGUUGCAGCCCAUGAUGUAGUUUGUAAUGCUAUACCAUCAAAAGUUCAGGCCCACAGCUUUUCUUCCCAAUAAGUGUAUUCCCACAUGGAUUGCACAGUCCCUAGCUUCUAUCACGCAUUAAUACACAAACUAAUCUGCCGUCACAAAGAGACACCCCCAAAACAAAUCAAUGAUUAUUCAAACUCAAACAGAACAGGCGUUUGUCUUCCUCUCAUUUAACAACCCGAGUGAGGUUGACCAGGGAACCAGGUUCUUUCUAUGUUGCGACUUUACCACCCCCAGCCCAAGGCCAGCUCACUAGUGGCAUGUUUGGGAGUUCCAGUGUGUGCCCUGGCGUGCAAAUAAUCUCAUGCCUGUGUGACAGGACCCAGAGCUGCAUGUAGAGCUUCUUUCACAUCCAAUUGGCCGAAGCAUAAUCACAUGUCCACUCCUGGCUGGGAAGCGUCGUCUCUGCAGCCAGGUGACCGUGUGUCAGACAGAACUUGGGAGUCGUGUCACAGUGGAAGAGAAGGAGCAUGGAUGUUAGGACAGGUUGGGUGCUUUUCAUCUGAUGAUUCACAGUGGGUUUCUUGCUUUUGAGCAUCUUCAGUAUCAGAGGAGAUCAGUACUGUCUGCUACGGUACCUUUUCUUGCAAAUGAGGACCAUUGGACCAUCUCAGGAUUCCCAGAAGAGGGACGGCUCCAGCGGCACACCCUUCGACUCCGGAGAAGGCAACCCCAGGCUGACGUCAGUUCUCUUCCAGUUUCAUCCAAAUCCACUUUUCUUUUGCGGUGCCUUGGCCUCACGGGGGCAUUUGAUGCACCUGAAUCAGGGGUCUGGGACAUAAAGAGAAUCACGCUAUCCAGCAAGUCUCUCUUGUUCUAUGCUCUUUCGUUAUAGGUAGAAAAAUUAAUUUUCUAUUAUGAUUAUAUUCUGCUUGUCAUCAAUCUUGCCUCCUACCAUUUUAAUCUGGCAAGACAGUGCACCAGAAGAAAGGAUAUAGAUGUCAUUUUGUCAAGUGACUCUAGAGAGGGUUGGGGUGUUGGGUUAGUUGGCAUGUAUUGAAAAUAUUUUAACAAAUAUGUUUUGUGAUAGAAGGAUCAAGGAUAAUAGCACUAAUUUGACUCCUCCUUUCCAAACAGAAAAAAAAAAAACAUGUUGAAUGCUGCCAGGUACUGGACGCUGGACAAGCCUGGAGGGGCAACACUGAAGAGAUGAGCCCUGCUCUCCUGGUGUUUACUAGGCCUGCAAUUUCAUGUUCAUACACCUUUUAUAUGUGGGGAUUUUUUUGUUUUUUGGGGGGACAGAAACUCAGACUCUAAAAUUUCAAAUGCACCUCCACAAUUGAAAUGGCUCAGUUUAGAAUUCUAAAUCCUCAUUAUUUGGCCCCAAACCACCUUGAGGGGUGACUUUCCUUCUAGUUAGUUUGCAACAGCACUGUGGGCUCUUUCAGGAACUGUUCUGGCUACCGAGAUUCAUGCAGCUUCCCCAUUCCUCUUGGAAUUCCCGUCCUACAUCUUCCCCUGGAAUCUGUCCAUCGUUAAAGCCUGCCCUGGUGGAGUGGAGCUGUGAGUCGCAGGUCCCUGGCAUUCUCCUUCCCCACCAGAUAAAUCACAACUGGACACAGUUGUGUAUCCAGGUGGGAGAUUGUGGAAGAAUGUUGUCCACAAUGGACAGAGAUUUGGAGAAAGCCAGUGACCUUGGAUAGCAGAGCAAAGGGUGAACCUGUUGCCCUAGCACCAAUUACAGGGUAGAGUGGCAGGGAUGGGGGGAGUCCCUCCAGCCCUGAAAUUGGCACCUUGCAGAAAUUCAGUCUAAACAUAAGAGACCUGGAAUCUGCAUUGCAAAUCCCGGGCUUUGGAGAAGUUCUCUGCCCUUCCCAGGGUUUUCACGGUGCCCUAAGAGGGACCAUCUUGAGAAGGUCUUGCCUGAGCUUACUGCUCUGGGAGCCAAAGGCCCCUGCAUUUUCCUGUGUCUGGGUCCCGAUGGCAGUGUAACUGCACUGACUCUGCGGGUAGCUGCUUCAAGGGGCAGCUUGGUCCUGGAGAGCCUCUGACAUACAAUGGCAGAGAAUUCUAUGUGGUGGGAACCAGGUAAGAGAAUGGAGGAUGCUUCCCUUUUAAAACUGGCAGAUCAGGAACCUGGUUGCGGGAUCCCAGGGGAAGAAGCAGCCCUGCACUUUCAAGCAGGAGCUAAGCCUGGGUGCACCAGAGGUGAAGGGAGAAGAUCACUCAGUGCCCGUGGCCAUUCACCCCCAGCACAGAUAGCUGAGACUCCAUAGCCUCUUCCAGGUGUAGCCCAGAAGCUCAGAGUCCUUGGCAAGCUGCAGUGCUCCUGGAAGCACAGGGAACCUGUGCUGGAUGAGUCCCCUCUGUGGGCGAGCUUGGUGACAGGCUGCAGCAUUGUGUCUGCCCUGCUCUUGGAUUGUGCAGCCCAGAUAACCCCAGAGUAGAUCUUUGCUGUCCAGCUCUGAUUUCUGCCCCAGCUCAUCUGGCUGGCAAGGCAGCAGGGAGCUAUGCUAACUGAGGGGUCACAAACCGCUCCAUCGCUCACCCAGGAGCGCCACAAAGGAGAGAAGGAGGUAAGUAAUUCCCAGCCCUUCCUCUGUCUGAGCAGCACAGUCAAAAAGACCUGGAAAAAAAUUCUCUGUCCAGCACAGAUUGCAAUCACCCAAUCCUACCCACCCCAUGGAUUGCUUCAGAGGAGAGGAAAUUUUAAUUUUUUAAAAUUAAUACACUUUUUGUUAUUACUGGGUUUUGUUUGUAUAUAUACUUACAUCUCUCUUGUGUUCUGCUCUUAAUAUAUUUAAUUUUCUUUUUUUUCCUCUUUUUUACAGCUUUCUCCUGCUUUUCCUUUUCUUCUUUCUUUUUAAUUUUUAUUUCUGCUUCUUUUUGUUUUCCUUUUUUCUUCCUUUCUUUUUCUUUGUUGCUGUGACAAAUACCUGAGGAAAAAACUUAAAAGAGGAAACACUGAUUUUGGCUCAUGGCUCUGGGGGUGUCAGUGUGUGGACAGCUGGCUCCGUUGCUUUGGAAUGGGGCCAAGCACAACAUCAUGGUGGAAGAAAGCUGCUCACCUCACAGCAGCCAGGAAGCAGAGAGGGAGAAGAAGGGGACAGAGACAAAUUCAGUAUGCAGAGGCAUGCCAACGUGACCCACCUCCUUCAACUAGGUUUCACCUCCUACAGUUUCCAUCACCUAAUAAUCUAUUUAGCUAUGAAUCCAUUAAUGGGUUAAUCCACCAAAAAGUCAAAACCCUCAUGAUCCAAUCAAUUUCCCAAAUCCCCACCUCUUUAAUAUGGCUGUUUUGAGGGGCCAAGCCCUCAACACAUGUGACUCUGGGAAACACUUCAUAACCAUAAUAUUCUGCCUCUGCCCCCAAAGUCCCAUGUCCAUCUCAUAGUGCAAAAUGCGUUUAGUUUCUUUCCAAAAGUCCUCAUAGCCUCAAUGGUUCUAGCAUUGUUCUAAAGAAAAUCAGGGAAGAACCAAACAAUAUUAAUACAGAAGAUCAUCAAACCUCUAAGAUAAUAAAACUGAAUAUAAAUAGUCUUAAUUCAACAAUUAAAAGACUCAGACUGGAUGAUUAGGCUAAGAAUAUGCUUCCUUCAAGAAACUUACCUCUCCAGCAAGGACAUAUACAGAAUGAAAGUUAAAAGAAAGGAACAUCAUAUUCCGAGUCAAUGGAAUUUGAAAGCAAGCAGGAGUAAGUAUACUCAUAAUCCACAAAACAGAUUUUAAGCCCAAGUCAGAAGACACAAGAAGAUCACUACAGAUUGAUAAAGGGAACAAUUCAUUAAGAAGAUGUUACAAUUAUAAACAAACAUGCCGCAGUCCGGCUGCAGCAAAAUAACCGGGGGGUGACCAACAACUUGUGUACAUUGAUACAGCAGGAGUAGGAGCCGUUUAUUGUAGGACAACAGAGGUAUUUAUACAUUCCACACAGCUUAUCUAAUUAACAUAAACUAGAUACAGCAGUCAACCAAUAAGGAAUCUCCACACUUAAUGGCUCGCUGGCGUUACUUCACAAACCACUCCCUCUGGCAAAAUGCCAGGCGCCAUCCAGACUUGUUUACAGACUCUAACACAAACAUGCACAGUUGUUGAAGCACCCAAUUUUAUAUAUUACUACUAGACCUAAAUAGAUAGAUAAGUCCCAAAACAAUAGUAGUGGGUGACUUCAAUACCCGACUCUCACCAAAGGUAGGUUAUCCAGACUAUAGAAGUUAGCAAAGAAGCAUCAAAGUUACAUUAUACUACAGAUCAGAUGGGCUGAAUACAGAACAUUGCAGUCAAAAGCAGCAGAAUACAGAUUCUUUUCAUCAGCACAUGGAAUUUAUUUCUAAAAUAAAUCAUACAUUUGGCCAUAAAGUAAAUAUUAA